rnacentral:sRNA from 1 species
UCCGCGCCCACCUGACAGCUGCUCGCUACGUCUUGUUAG